UCCUUCCCUGCAAUAUUUAUUAAGGAGUUUACACAUACACAGGAGAAAGGCAACCAGGCGCUGUGGUUCCCACACAUGACAUCUCUGAAGCAAAGUUUUCUUGUUUGAAUUUUCAAGUGGAGUGAACAACGGCCGAGAGAAAGCUGUCCAGGCCCUCUGCCUCUUACACCUGGAGAAGGUGCUGGUGCUGGGAGGGUCGGGGUCGGGGUCGGGUGGGAGGAGAUCCGGACAGUCAGGGGACAACAUAAAGCAAGAGAGAGGUCUAUGACGCUGGGAAGGGAUGGACUAGGCAGAAUGCCAAACCGCAUAUGACUUAUGAUCAAUUUCUAAACCAAACAGAGAGAGGUAGGAAAAAGGGAAGGGGAGGGCUGGGAAAGAAGAGGAGGGAGG
rnacentral:lncRNA from 1 species